ACUGCGGCUGCUGGAAAUCUGAAACAGAAAUGUUGUAACUCUGUAUGGUGUUGCAUAUUAAGGAUCUGCUUCACUUUAAGGGGUUAAACUAUUCCCGAAGGGAAUGGGAUCGCCAUAACCUUUUUUAACGGGCUGUGAUGUUGGGUGUGCCCGUGCAGUCCGCCCGAAUUUACUGAAGACUGUUUGAUGGUUUAAUGCAAUUUUAAAAGAUUCAAAUCGGAGCAGCUCCUUCAGCUAUUCGCUGCUUUUUGAAGAAGGGAAUUUGCAGACAUGCGCGUUGUGAAGACUGAGCUGGAAGAUUGUCAGGGUUAGCGAGGCUAAGAAGCAGAAACCCUGGGUCAUUCACUGUUCUCAUCAGCCGCUAGGACAGCCGUGCCUUAGUCGCCCCGCGUGUUCAUUUCGCCAGAUGCCACCAGUCUAACACCGGUCUGUGGUGGAUGCAGAAGCCAGUUUCCAGACACCUGCAGACUGACAGGCUCAUGAAAUGAUCCUGGGCAAACAUACAAGAGGUGAAUGAAAAAUAAAUACUGGCUCACCAAUUUUCUGGGCCACUGAGUACUGCAGAGAAAAGAGGCUUGGCUUGUUUCCUUGUUUUACUGUUAUAUACCUCAAUUAAAUGCUCCUCCUCCUGUGUUCCAAACAAAACAGCACCAGUCUAACCAGUCAGGUGAGAUUCUUCAAAUCCUAAAAUUUAUUGUCUAUUCUCUUUCUAGUUUGUCCUUACAAAAUGCAUCUAUCUGGAUUCAGUUCCAUCUGCCACCUUGGCACACCCGGCAAGUUUUUUGUCUUUCUGUGAGAUAUUUAUUGCCACUCCCUGUUGAUGUUUGACUUUUCUCAUCACCAUUUAUGACACUUUACAUCCUGCUGCAGCAACAACAUCCCACGUCCCUGUGUGUUCCAGACUUUUAUCACAUGAACAAGGGAUAUAAUUUAAAUAAUGAAUAACAAAGUCAAUUUGGAUAAUAGGCUAGGGGAUAGCUCAGUAGAAAUAGUAAAUAGUUUACGUUAUUUUUUCCACAAUAUUCAGAAUUAAUAUUCCUGCCACAUGAGGUCCAAGUCAUAUUUACAAAAGCAAUUCCAUACAGGCAUGUAAUUUUAAAGACUCAACGUAUGAAUGGUUUCUGUACUCAUUAAUGACUAUUUUAUGUUAUCCUGAGUUGUGUUCUGGCUUGCAUACAACUUGACUCUUGAAUCGACUCAAGAAUGGACACUAUUCACAACCCGGGAACUGCCUGUAACAAAGAAAAAGUCUUGAUUAAGGACCUACCAUCCAUGGUUAACUGAAGAAGUUAGGGAAAGCAUCACACCUAAGGAAAAAAACAUAAGUGUGCAAAGAUGAGUGGUAGGUCAAUGAGUUGUCAGAAUAUUAAGAGUGGCAGAAAAUGAUGGAAAUGUUAAUCCAGAGGAAUCAAGAAAAUUUUGGUCUUCUAGACGGAAUGGGAAAUUAAUAGUGAGUAAAAAGGAAAUAGCAGAUGAAAUUAGCGUAAUUGCUUCUGCCUUCAUUAUAAAAGAUACAAACAUUCUAGUAAUGGCUGUGAAUCAGAAGGUAGAAGGGAAAGAGGAAUUUAGUGAAAUUAUAAUCUUAAUGAAAGCUUACUGAACACAUUGAUGGAACCUUGGGCUCAAAAGUCUCUAGGUCUAAAUGCACUUCUUCCUUGAGUCUUAGUAGAGGUAGCUAAUGAGGUAGUACAUGUAUUAUUAAUGUUCCAAAAUUUGCUUAAUUCCAGAAAGGUUCCAUUGGACUGAAACAUAGUAACAUAACCCCUCCUAUUCUAAAAGGGAAUGAGGCAGAAAAUAGGAACUACAGUUAGUUUGGUUGCUGUUGUGAGGAAAGUGUUAGAGAAUCAAGCAUUAAAGAGAUUAUAGCUGUGCACUUAGAAAAACCUCAAAACAAACACGAAGAGGCACUAUGAACUCAACAAAGCGAAAUCAUGUUUAAGCAGUUUAUUGGAAUUCUUUUGAGGGGAUAACAUAAGUUGUGAAUAAAAGAAAACCUGUAGACCUUUCAGGAUUUUUGAAGACAUUUAAUAAUAGGGCAGAUAAUAGAAACUCAUGUUGUAAUGGUUAACAUAUAUGAGCAUGGUUAGAAGUUUGGCUGGUUGGUAGAAGGCAGAGUAUCUGUGCUGGGACCUCAACCUUUUAAAUUUUCAUCAAAGACUUGGAAGUGGGAAGAAGGAAGCCAAGAUAUGGUAGAUAAAUCUGCUGACAACACCAAGACAGAUAAGAAAGUAUAUUGUGAAAAAUAUGCAAGGGGUGAGCAAAAAUCUGACAUUGGUAUAAUGUGGGAAAAUGUGAAGUUGUUCACUUUGGCAGGAAGAAUGAAGAGCAGAACAUUACUUAAAGGAGGAACACUUGUGGUAUUCUGGGGCACAGAAGGAUUUAGGUUUCUCUAGAGUAUGAGUCACAAAAAUAUUUAGUAUGCAGGUACAGCAAAAUCAAGAGGCCAAUGGGAUGCUAUUCUUUAUUAUGAGGGAUAUUGAACAUAAAAGUAAGGAAAUUAUGCUUCAGUUGUACAUGGCAUUGGUGAGAUCAUAUCUCAAAUGAGUGUGUGGUUUUGGUCUCCUUAUUUAAAGAAGAAUGCAAAUGAAUUGGAGGUUGUUCAGAGGUGAUUUUAUAAAUUGAAAGUGGAAUGAGUAGGUUGUCUUCUGAGGAAAGAUUACAAAGGCUGAGCUUGCUUCCAGUGAAAUUUUAGUAGAGUAAGGGAUGACUUGAGUGAAUAAAUCCUGAACAAUCUUAACAUGUGAAUAGAAUAACUUUUCUUGCAGGUGUGCAUCCAAAAAUAGAGGACCCUGUUCGAAAAUUUUGGGUUCACUUUUUCGGACCGAUGAAAAUUUUUUUCUGAGGGUUGAGAGUAUGGAGCUGUCUGCUUCAGAGGUGGUGAACAUGGGGUCUAUUAACUAUUUUCAAGGCAAAGGUAGCUAGAUUCUUGUUAGGCAUGUGAUUCAGAUACUAUCAGGUGAGAUAGGAGUGUGGAAUUCAAAACACAAACAGAUCAGAUUGAAUGUCAGAGCAAGCUUGAGAGCUGAAUGGUUUGCUCCUGUUCCUAUUUUGUGUGUUCAUAAGUAAUGCUUCCUUUUGCUGAAUUAAUAUUCUAGUAUCAAUGCCAAUCAAGUUAUGUAAAUAUGCACCAACUACCUUUUCACAAAUUUCUCUUCUUGUAGUCAGUUGUUUUUUUAACCACAUGGAUCUAUCAGCCACAGUCUGAUUACUAGUCUGCUUCUUAGAAUCUUGAUAUCUUCCAAUUUACUGAUCCUACCC